UACGGAGGGGGCUAGCGUUGUUCGGAAUUACUGGGCGUAAAGCGCGCGUAGGCGGAUCUGCAAGUCGGGGGUGAAAUCCCGGGGCUCAACUCCGGGGCUGCCGGUCAGACUGGUGGGCUCGAGCACGGUAGAGGCGGAUGGAAUUCCCGGUGUAGCGGUGGAAUGCGUAGAGAUCGGGAAGAAUACCGGUGGCGAAGGCGUUCCGCUGGGCCGUUGCUGACGCUGAGGCGCGACAGCGUGGGGAGCAAACAGG
rnacentral:rRNA from 1 species